GCCAGAGUAGUAUAAUGGUGAGGAAGCUUGUCUUAUAACUCAGAGGUUGUUGGUUCAAUACCUAUCCAGGGCA